GACGAACCGUGCGAACGUUGUUCGGAAUCACUGGGCUUAAAGGGCGCGUAGGCGGGCUGUCGCGUCUGGGGUGAAAUCCUCCGGCUCAACCGGGGAAGGGCCUCGGGUACGGACGGCCUCGAGGGGGGUAGGGGCGUGCGGAACUGUGGGUGGAGCGGUGAAAUGCGUUGAUAUCCACAGGAACUCCGGUGGCGAAGGCGGCCCCCUGGUUGGAUACUGACGCUGAGACGCGAAAGCGUGGGAGCGA
rnacentral:rRNA from 1 species